GCCACGAUGGUCAGUAGGCUGGAAACAACCAAUAUAAAUUGGAAGACAUCACUCCACAUUAUGGCUUGAACUCCGCCCUGAAAAAGCACCAAAUGUUAUCAAAAGCGUAUACAGUAUCAGGCAUGGCAAAUGACUCGUCAAAACGGUUCAUUGUGGACAAUAUUCGGCGGCUUGAAAUGAUCAUCUCAAGCAUUCUCAUCGAACGAAUGAAACAAUCGCUACCGAAUAUGGGGAUCAAAAGCAUGACAAUCAUGCCACCAAACAAGGAACUUAUCAUCAUUGUCCAUGGUCCAAUUGUUCCAAAGUAAGCAGCAUCGCCAGGAAUGACUGAAAAACAUGAAUACGUGGAAAAAACCAUUGAGAAUCAAAGUGCUCAUUACACGUUGAAGACUUGUUGAUUGUUAUAAAUGUACAACAUCAAAGCAUCUUUCAAGUAAACCAUUUUAAGAUUGCCAUCAUGCAAGAACUUGUGGGCUUUUAAUAUUGACUUUCAAGAUUAUUUUAUGUGGCAUUUACUUUUCCGAGAUAGCCCUUCCUUGAAGUCAUGAUGAUGCGUGGUUCGUGAACUUUUUGACAUUUAUCAGACUGAGCCUCACCCCAAAAAGUGAUUGGAACGAUCGAGCUCCUUCAGGGAGGUAUGCUGUGCUUUAAGUAUAGUGGGGGUCUUUUUUUAUCGAACUAUUUCCUUCAUAUUGAGCCCUUAAUUCUAAAGAGGAAGGAAAUGUCAUGGUACAUCCUCGACUGAUCUUCCCAGAAGAA